UUGUCGAAUCCUGGCACUUGCUGCCAACAUUAGUGAGGAUCGUGGAAAAUUUCUGCCAUCAGGAUACAACUUCAGGAAGGCUGCUCAUACAGACAUUAAUUAAGUAGAAGGGAACGUUCAACUGUGUGACAAGAUUUAACAAAGCAGAAUCUACAGUCAACAGUAAAAGCAUUUCAGAUCUGGCAAGAGAUAUGCCAGACCAGGAGACGGAAGAAGGGAAAGUCAAGGCGUAUCUUCAAGAUACCAAAAAUGGAUAUAAUUUGCAUUAAAAAUUUGGAGCUGGAGUAUUCCUGCAACUCCUGCAGCUGGAGUAUUCAUCACAACAAAUGCAACCCAAAAAUGCUGAUGCUGCCUGGAUUGCAGUGGGUAGUGUACCAGGUGGGUAGGGUGUAGGAGACAGAUCCAAAGGCUUGUUGCGUCCAGAGGUUUGGUGGAAGGCCAGUCAAGUCCCAAGGUAGUUGUAAUUAGUGAUAUAUAAGCAGAAUUAGGAAGCCAGUUAAAUAGAUAUCUUUGAUUCAGAGUAUGUACUUAACAGCCUAACUUUUCUUGAGUAACUAUUUACUUAACUGCAGAUGAAUUCUCAGAUUUAAACAGAUGCUUUCUGAACAUUUUAGACAGAGGGAAAUUUUCAAAUUUCCUUGGAGUCUGCUACAUUGGAGAUUCUGCAGGGUCUGUGUGCAGAACUUCCAACUAUGUUGGAGAGAUAACGAUCCCACCAUUAGAAAAUUUUGGCCUUUAUUUUUGGGAUUAUUGUAUCAUUGCUGAAAAAUAGAAGUGUCUUUUCAUAACAAUGUUAGUUUGAAAAUAUGUUCUAAAUUAUUGAAGCCAGGUGAUUAAUUAUUGG